GCGUGGCGCUGUAGCCCGUAACUAGGCAGCAGCGCAUAUCUGGCAGCACACUGUAGCGGCGGAGAGCAGCGGAUUGCAUUCUGUCAGUGUAAUAUCAACAUUGGAAAGGACGCAGUCAAAAUACAGAGAUGGCAGUGAAUGUAUACUCCACAUCAGUAACGAUUGAGAACCUGAGCCGACAUGACAUGUUGGCGUGGGUGAACGACUCCCUUCAGCUCACCUACACCAAGAUAGAACAAUUAUGUUCAGGGGCGACUUAUUGUCAGUUCAUGGACAUGCUGUUCCCAGGGUGUAUUCUUUUAAAGAAAGUGAAAUUUCAAGCAAAGCUGGAAACUGAGUUUAUACAUAACUUCAAAGUACUCCAGGCAGCUUUCAA